CAUGCACCAGUGGGGUCCCUCAGCCUGGCCUGCUCUCUCUUGCAAUCCUGGACCCCUCAGGGUAUACCAGAGAGCCACUUUCGGCCUAAUCCCACAGGCCAGGCUGAGGGACCCCACUGGUGCACG
rfam:Myotis brandtii contig200057, whole genome shotgun sequence.